rnacentral:rRNA from 1 species
CAGAUUGAACGCUGGCGGCAUGCCUUACACAUGCAAGUCGAACGGCAGCGCGGACUUCGGUCUGGCGGCGAGUGGCGAACGGGUGAGUAAUACAUCGGAACGUACCCUGUUGUGGGGGAUAACUAGUCGAAAGAUUAGCUAAUACCGCAUACGACCUGAGGGUGAAAGCGGGGGACCGUAAGGCCUCGCGCAGCAGGAGCGGCCGAUGUCUGAUUAGCUAGUUGGUGGGGUAAAGGCCCACCAAGGCGACGAUCAGUAGCUGGUCUGAGAGGACGAUCAGCCACACUGGGACUGAGACACGGCCCAGAAUUCCUACGGGAAGGCAAGCCAGUGGGGGAAUUUUUGGACCAAUGGGGGGCAACCCCUUGAUCCCAAGCAAAUGCCGGCGUGUUGUGAAAGAAGGCCUUCCGGGUUGUAAAGCACUUUUUGUCCGGAAAAGAAAACGCUCUGGUUAAUACCCGGGGUGGAUGACGGUACCCGGAAAGAAUAAGCACCGGCUAACUACGUGCCCAGCAGCCGCGGUAAUACGUAGGGUGCGAGCGUUAAUCGGAAUUACUGGGCGUAAAGCGUGCGCAGGCGGUUUUGUAAGACAGGCGUGAAAUCCCCGGGCUUAACCUGGGAAUGGCGCUUGUGACUGCAAGGCUAGAGUGCGUCAGAGGGGGGUAGAAUUCCACGUGUAGCAGUGAAAUGCGUAGAGAUGUGGAGGAAUACCGAUGGCGAAGGCAGCCCCCUGGGACGUGACUGACGCUCAUGCACGAAAGCGUGGGGAGCAAACAGGAUUAGAUACCCUGGUAGUCCACGCCCUAAACGAUGUCAACUAGUUGUUGGGGAUUCAUUUUCUCAGUAACGUAGCUAACGCGUGAAGUUGACCGCCUGGGGAGUACGGUCGCAAGAUUAAAACUCAAAGGAAUUGACGGGGACCCGCACAAGCGGUGGAUGAUGUGGAUUAAUUCGAUGCAACGCGAAAAACCUUACCUACCCUUGACAUCCACUAACAAGCAGAAUCAUCAGGGCC